AACGAACGCUGGCGGCGCGUCUUAAGCAUGCAAGUCGAGCGUGAUUGAAUAGCUUGCAUUCAUGAAAGCGGCGGACUGGUGAGUAACGCGUGGGUGACGUACCCUUUGGAUGGGGAUAGCUCCUAGAAAUAGGAGAUAAUACCGAAUAAGCUGCAUGUUGUCAGAGGACAUGCAGGAAAGGAACAUAUGUUCCGCCGAAGGAGCGGCCCGCGAGCUAUUAGCUUGUUGGUGAGGUAACGGCCCACCAAGGCGACGAUAGCUACCCGGCCUAAGAGGGUGAACGGGCACAUUGGGACUGAGAUACGGCCCAGACUCCUACGGGAGGCAGCAGCUAAGAAUAUUCCGCAAUGGACGAAAGUCUGACGGAGCGACGCCGCGUGGACGAGGGAAAGGCCGGAAGGUUGUAAAGUCCUUUUAUAUGUGGAGAAUAAGCAGGGGAGUGGAAAGCCCCUGUGGUGACUGUAGCAUAUGAAUAAGAGGCGGCUAAUUACGUGCCAGCCGCCGC
rnacentral:rRNA from 1 species